ensembl:lncRNA novel transcript
GCCCCGCAGCUGGAGAAGGGGUGAAUGCCUUUCCUACCUAACGCCUGGUCCGCGGCCCUGCUUGUUGCGUCUCCAAGACCACGUGUCUGCUGCAUUUUAAAAAUAGUUGUGAACAUCUGACUUUCUCCUUUUGCUGGAGUGCAGUGGCACAAUCUCUGCUCACUGCAACCUCGGCUUCUCAGGUUCAAGCGAGUCUCCUGGCUCAGCCUUCCCAGUAGCUGGGAUUACAGGCGCGUGCCACCAUGCCCGGGUGGCAAAAGAGAAGAUGGAAGCCAUCUACUCCAGGCCCUUGAGGAAGCUGAGCGGCUCCCUGAGUAGGGUUGAGGUGGAUCCAGAAGGCAACAUCCUCUGGAAGGAAGGAGAGUCAGGAUGGUGGGGGCCUCACUAUGGUUUUGAUUUGCGUUUCCCUAAAGAUUAGUGAUGUUGAACAUCUUCCCAAGUGCUUAUUGGCCGCUUGUUUAUUUUCUUUGGAGAAAUGCCUAUUCAAGUCCUUUGCCCAUUUUUGAAUCAGGAUUGAUUUUCUAUGGUCUAGCUGUAGUUCUUUAUACACUGUGGAUAUUGAUUCCUUAUCAGAGCUAUGAUUUGAAAA